UAGCUGUGAACAACAAGUUAAACCUUCAGAUGGAGCAGUGGGAAGCAUGUACCAAGGAACAUCAGUUCAGGAAAAGGGACAGGAAUUUGGUGGCAUUCUGAUAUCCAAAAAUUAAUUGACUGGGCAAAAGACAUAAAUAUUGACCCAAAUGAUCCUUACUACUCAGAUUUGUUUGAGUUAAUUAUGUAUGCGCAAUCUCAGGAGAAAAGUGAUUCAAAACACUUUCGCCUUAAGCUACUGCAAGAAUUUAACCUUGCUAUUGAAGAACAUAUUGAAAAUUGCAAACGUUUCCGGCUGUUACAGCUUAGGAACUUAGGACAGUUGGGCUUCUACUGUUUUCAGCAAAUUCCUCUCUUUGACAAAGAAAUCCCAGACACAAUUUUUCAGGAACAUGGAGGCCAAUUGGAAAAGGACAUGUUUAUGACAGAUAUGGAUCCUAUUUCUGCACAAAGAAAUAGUUCUGCCAACUUUGUUAGGAUGGUAUGACAGUUUUUAAUAGAUUAGAAAAUGAAUGGUUGGAAACUACUGCAUUGAAAAUAAAAUAAUGUAGUAUUCCAUU